rnacentral:lncRNA from 1 species
GUCCUGCAAGAACGGGUUAGGAACACCCUGGGGCCCGGAGAGGCGCCUGACCCCGCGAAGGCGUGAACGAAGCUGAGACCGCGCCCGGCCGCGCCGGGGUCGGCGGAAAGCACUCUGGGAUUUGCGGCCUGGUUGCGGUGGCACUUCCUCCUUCGCAUCACCUAGCGCGGUGGUUUUCAAUCUAGGCUGCAGAUACAUUUAAAAGAGAUUUCCCGCCCUUAAACAGAGUCCUGGGUUAAUUUAGCCGAGAAGCGCAUUCGUUUUCCCUCCGGGCGGGUUUGUGCAGUGCGUCAUUCCGGCCAGCAGGAGGCAGCAGCACCCAAGGAGCUGCGUGAGGGCUCGCGCGGGGCUGCUCGAAACCUGGGGCCGCGCACCGCGCCCGAGCCGCCUCUGGGCUUCGAAAGCGCGGUGUUUUGUGGGUCUCGUGCCCGGCUGCGGCCGCAAAGCCUGGCCCGUGAGUCCCAGGAGAGCAUGCGGGGUGCAGGCGACGUCGGGCCGACACAGCUGCACCUACCCGAGUGCGGCGGCGGCGGCUCGCUCGUCCGAAAGCGCGGCCCUUCCGGCCGAGUCUUCCUAGCUCAGGACCCGGCACACUGACGCGGCGAGGGGGCUGCAUCCCGCUGCUGACUGGGUCCCGGCCGGCGGUUGUCCGGUGCACGCCGCGGUGAGUUGCUGACCCGAAGUCGCUGCAAUGGGCUGUUGGCCGGCAGUGCUGCUCUUCCCAGGGCCAGCGAGACCCGGGAGGUGACCCAGCUCGGCUGCCUUCCGGGCCGCGGGCACGGCCUGCUAAGCUGGUGGAUGAGCCCACACCGGGAAAGGCUGGCGUACCGCCACGACGGCGACUUGGAUCUUGGCUCGACUCCUUCCAGGCUCACUGGAUGACCCGUGCGGACAGUGAAGUGACAAGAGCAGGCCACCUUGCUAACUAAGGCCACGGGCAUGUGCUGCAUCCACACUGAAGGAUGCUCCCGCUGGCCUCAGCCACAUUACAACCUGAGGGGUGGCGAGCCUUGCAGGCCCGGGGCUCCUCCCUAUGUGUGCAGUAAGCUGGUUUCUCGAGAAGCACACCUCCGAGCAGCGCCGUGCAACAGAAACGGCAUGCAAGCCAGUGUGCAUCUGAAAUCCUCUACUGGCCAUGUUGAAAAAGCAGUAGGUGCAGGCGAAAUGAGUUUUAAUAAGUUUUAUUGAACCCACAUACCCUCAGUAGUAUCAUUUAACAUGAAACCAAACUUUAAAACAUGACUGGAAGGGUCUGAAAUGUGGCACGCACGUCACACUCAGGGGUCUUCCAAUCCGGAGUGUGACACCGAAGUUAAGUGUCUGGAGGUCACACCUGGCUGGUGGCCAUGGUACUGGGCAGUGUUGGUGCAGGGAACUCAAAACAGAGAACCCCAAGUAGACCUGGGCAUUCACCAGAAAGUAACAGGGAGAAUCACGGAAAUGACUACAAGAUGCCACGGCGUUAACCUAAAGACCAAAAUAUCUGCAGAGAGCUGGUCUGGGAAAAGGCUUAAAUGAAAACAAGGUUAAAUUUCGAUUCAAAUAGGCUCUGUUACACAAGAGUAAAACUCACUUAAGGUGGCCCAGGACGUCCUGUGGAGCCAAGAGGUGGCAAGUUCUGGCUCACAUGUUGCUUCUGCAGGUCUAUAGGAUGGGGCUCUGGAGUGAUGAGCCAGGUCUUCCAAAAUCCAUGAAUGACGCAUCUUACCAGCGAUUGCAGACAGCUUUCUGGCAUCCAGACUUUGCACUGUGCUCACCUCUGACGUCCUGUGCACCCCUCGUCCUUGGCCAGUCUGUCCCCCCAGGCAGACACAGAGUGCUCUGCUUGGGACUCACUAAACAGACUCCGUGCACGCCUCUGAGGAGCGGACAGCCCUGCACAGCGAUGGUGGAGCUCUUGCUCAGUGCUGCAUGCCUGGACCUCGAGCCGUGAUCAGCAGUCAGAAGAGCAGCCAUGCUGUGCUGGGUGCUGCCCUGAAGGGCUGUGAAGGGAGGACCUCAGGAGGCUCAGAUUCCUCGCUCUCAAGUCUACUCCGCCCCAUCUGAGCUGAGCCACCCUGUAUGCGAGAGAGUGAUGGACAGCCACACCCAGAGAAGCAAGGGAGAUGGAGCCUGCAGUGAGGGACUAAGAAGAGAAGCAGGAGGCAGUGUGCAGUGACACCUCGCUUCGUGGAUGCUUCCGUCUGUAAACACUUUGCUUUGCAAACAGAACUGACUGGCAAAAUUUUGCUUAUGUUCUCGAACUCCUCAUAGGUGCCAAACAUGACCAUGGCCAUUUUCUGCUCUGACACAUGGUCGUGGCUUCCUCUAGUCGAGAUCGCAGUCACAGAUAGACCUGUGCACACUUGCUGUGAGGCUUUUGUGUGUUUUAGCACAUACAGUACUCUACAGUGUUAUUCAGUCCAGCAUGGCUCCAAAGAAACUGCAGAGGUAAAAAGAGAGUGCAGAGCAAUAAUGAAGGUAACAAGAAAGUGCAGAGCAAGAAUGGCAAGAAGGUUUUGAAGAAAUAACCAUUGAGUUGAAGGACGCUGUGGACAAGCAUGAGCAUGGUAUCCUUAUGACUGAUCUGGCCUCAGAGCACACGAUGGCGAAGUCCACAGCCUCGACUGUCUUGAAGAAUAAAAACACCAUCAAAGGAGCUGACGUGGCCAAAGGAGUAAUGAUGUUAACCAAGUAGAGGACACAAGUGCUGGAAGAGGUGGAAAAGCUUUUGUCAGUGUGGCUGAGUGAGAAUCAGCUGGCAGGUGAUAGUGUUAGGAAGCUAUGGUCUGUGAAAAGCCAGGAAAUUGCACAGCGGUCUACUGUAAGAAAUCCCUCUACACCUCUACAAGUGCAACAGGUGAGGGAUCUAGAGCCUGUAGAGGGUGGUUUGAUAAAUUCUGCAAGGGAAGUGUCUGUGAUAAGACAUGGUGAGGCUUCUGGUUCUGACAAGGCCUCCACAGAAGCCUACAGGAAAGAAUUCGCAGAACUCAUGAAGACAGAAGGAUAUGUCAAGCAACAAGUGUUUAACUCUGAUGAAACAGGGCUUUUGUGGAAGAAGAUGCUGAGCAGAACCUAUGACAUACAGGAGGAAAAGGCACCGCUGGGGCACAAGCCCAUGAAGGACAGACUGACCCUUGUGCCUGUGCGAAUGCAAGCCCCAAUCUGAAGAUUAGGCCACUACUGGUGCACCAUCCCCAGACCCCUCGGCAUUCAAGGGACAGUGUGGACAAGGCCAGGCUGCCUGUCGUGUGGAGGCUAGUGGCGAAGCCUGGGCCACAGGGCAACUGUUUAUGGAAGGGCUGCACAAGGUGUUCUCACCCACCAUUAAGCAAUAUCUUUCUGGCAACCAGCUGCCUGAAGGUGCCUCCUUCAGAUGGACAGAGCCCGGCAACCUCCAGCCUUGGCAGAUGACAUGGACGCUGAGUAUGACUUUAUGACGGUCAAGUUCCUCCCCUACACGACACCUCUUCUGCAGCCUUAGGCCAGCAAAUGACCCAUAACUUCAAGAAGCUGUGCACAGGGUGCUCUUCACCAGGUGUUUUAAUGUCACUGAAGAGACAUCCCUGACUGGAAGAAUUCCAGAAGAAACAUUUCUCCCCACCGCAUCAGGCUCCCUGACACAGCCUGAGAAGAUGUCACGUACCGGACCUUCAACUCAGCCUGGAGGACACCGGCCAGAACGCGUCACUGGGUGUGACUGUGAAGGGUCUGAGGCACAGGUGUGGAGGGAUUGUGCCCACGGGCAAGAGUGUGGGUCUGGACGCCGAUGGUGCAGACGUGGAGGGGACCAAAGGAGGAGCUGACGCGGGAAGCACUUGCUGAACCGCUGAGUGAGCAGCAGAAGGCGCCUGCCGAGGAGCCCUGCGCCGAGAGGGGGCUGGGAGGAGGCCGGCAGUGACGUGACAAACUUCACCCUGGAAAAUGGAACGAGGGCUGGUUCUUGAGAAGCCCCGCCCCGACAUGGCCUCUCAACACAGGCCCUCUCGUUCCCGGGGGUUGCGCAGCACAGGAAAAACACUGACAUUAGAGAGAUUUCUCCCGUCAACACCGACCCUGCAGCUAAGAGAGAAAGAAGAGGACUCCCCCGACGGAGGUCUCCCCAGUGCCUCAUGGAGGGGCCCACCCUCCAAAUAAUACCCUCCUUCCUGUCCUGCGCGCCAGGAGUCUCCAAGCAAGUGCCUUCAGGGCCCCAGUGACGCCGUGGUGACCACGUGCCUGUAACAGAGCCUUGCUACACCCCUCGGUGCCUCACCACCCACUCCUUCACUUUCCUUCUCCCCAUUUCCAUUCCCAUCACCCUUGGGCUCUUAGAAGUCAGCCCUAGAAGGAAAAUCAGUAGGUCCCACACUUGGGCUCACCGGCUCGGUGGUGAAACCUCACGGCGUAUUCAUAACACCACCUGGAGCACAAGUCCUGGAGAAAGCACAAGUUCUGUAGCCAGGUAAGCCGGAGAACCCUGCCUCCAAUCCCUCUAGAUGGGGAGUCCUGCCGGUGAAUAGCUGUGACACUGUCCACCUCGGGAUUCCGAAGAACUAAGAGACUGCAGGUGUCUUUUCUUUCUCACCAACAGCUAUGAAAACCCUACAGGACUCUUCUGAGAAGCAGACACCGGGAGAGUUAGCAUUUCAGAUUUCUUUAUGUCAGUUGCCAUGGUCUUCUACCACACGGCUCCAAGCUUCGUUCCCUACUAUGCCUCCAUGUGUCCUCCAGCUUUCCAAAAGCCUCCCGCCCUUCACGACUGCAGACCUCAGAGGUGCUGCCCCUUCUCACUGGCCACUUGGCUGGGCCGACCGCCAUCCUUGCCCCUGCCUGUGCACGCUCUCUUCAGUCACCAAGACUCAGCUCAGCUCCUCCCUCCUGCACAGGGCCUCCUGGUGAAUCUCCAUCCUGGGAACUACCAAUUUUGUUGGCUGUCUGGUACUCCCCUUUGGAAAACACCACAUCAUUCCUUGCGGUCUUGUUCCACAGAGUUCCUGAAGCUUCUGUGUCCUCAAUAAUUCUCGAGGGCUUAUGUUGUGACUCCUCAUUUAGCCCUAGGACACAGGGAGCAUAUCCCAGGUUCCCUCAGUCCCCUGUCCUGGUGCAGGGCCCUGUACACGGUAGGCGCACAAUAGGUAACUGUCAGUUUGAAUAAUGUUUUUUGUGUUUUAAUCUUUCUCCAGCUGGUGUUACCUGGCUGGGCUGGUGGCCAUGGGACUCAGUCAUCUGGAGGGCAGAGUGGUGCUCAAGGCCGCGGAGUGGUUAGAGCCCUCCAGAGUGAGCUCCAAGGGGAGGGAAGCGAGGGCUCCAGAGGGAACUGGAGCUGAGAAUGGGAACUGAGAGUCCCAGCUUGUGGCCUGAAGGACGAGGCCCUGGCUCUAACUCCCCCGUCCCUGUGGGCCUCAAUCCCUGACAGAGAGUUGAGGGGCUGAGUGUCAGACUCUCCACAGCAACUGCUGACUGACCGUGUUCCCAUCGAGUGACCUGAGUCUACAGGUUGCCUGGGUCCAGAGGCUUCUACAGUGUCACUCAGACCUCGACAAGCAAGUGGAAGGGAGUGAAGCCAUCACAGGAACAACUGCAAAUCUGCUCCCGUUCAUCAAGGGGGGAAUUCCUCCCUCGUUAUUCGUAGUCACAAAGCACGCAUGAUCCGUUCAUGGCUCCACAGCUAUGCCUUCACCAUGUCUGCCAGCUCUUCCAGGGUGCUGGCAUCACCAGGAUCGUCCGGAGGGCCCAGCCACAGAGCGUGGUCAGUAGGACUGGCACAGGGAUCGAGACCCUGCUUCUCUGACGAGUUUCCAAGUGAUGCUGAUUUUGCUGGCCUGGCGGCCACCCUUGAAGAACACUGUUCAGGGUCUCCCUUACUCCAGCCCCCAGCCCUGGUUCCUGAAUCAAAUCUGUCCCUCCCGAGGUGGGCCUGCUUGGGGACUCCAGUGGCUUCACCAGUGGGGUUGCUUGAUGUCCAUCUCAGUCUCCCCCAUUCUUUCAUUGGAAAAAUGGACAACGGAGACUGAGGAAAUGCAGGAAAAAGGUACCAGAGCCACGGGCGAUCGAUGUGGUCGUUGUGACCCCUCACUCCCUCCUGCAGUGAUUCUGCUACAUUCUCUCUGCGGCAUCUGAUGAAGAAUCUGCUGUCGGUUUGAGGACACUACCUGCUACUUCCCAGCCUCUUUUUGGGAUCAACUGGGGAUACUUCAGAUAAGACGCUUCAACUAACAUCGUUACAACAAGGCCUGGCACGUAACAAAUACCCAACACAUUUACUGAGAUGCCGCCCUGGGCUUAGAGAUUGGAAGCCGAGUGCUUACCCCAAAUGUUUGGGCUCGGAUCCUGGCCGUGUUCACUGUCAGCUGCGUGACUUGGGCAAGUUAUCCGAGUUCUCGGUAACUCGGUCUCCUUGCCUGUACACUGGGGUUGAUAAUAACAGUGUGUCCAGGAAAACAGAGAUGAACUGAAUUCCUGUCUGCAAAAUCCUUAUGUCCAUGUCUGCCUCCUAAGAAGCACUGGGUAAAUAUGACUCAGUGACUGUGCAAACAGGAGCAGAGGGUGCUGAGAAGGCUGACCACACAGGCCGGGCCCUCUCCGGGGUUCUGGGCGCUUCUCUCCACCACCGAGGCUGCACUGAGAGGCAGAACACUCGGUGUGGGUGUGCAUGUGCGUGUGGGAGCUGGGUGAAGCCCAUCGUGUCCACCUCCCUAGCUCUGGCCAGAAGAAGCCCUCUUAGCUUUGCCCCCGUGAAGUGGGCCUGCUGAUAGCAGCUGCUCCCGCAGGGUGGGUCCCGGGACGGCCUGUGUGAACCGCAGGAGGAGACCACAGGGCGGGGGCGGGUGGCCACUGUGUGUCCCACGCAGGUAGCCAUGAAGCAUGGAGCUGGCGCCUGGAUCAGGCUGGGCUCGUAAACUUGUUUUUCCAAAGCACCACACCUGUCAGGCCCAGGCCGAACGGCGCAGGUGGACAGAAAGCCUCUGAGAGUGGUCAGUGCCUGGACUCGGGGUCCAACACCCUCAUGUGCCAGUUUUCUUGCAUUUUUCUCUAAAUCCCAAAGGCCCUGAUGGCACUGGUUUUUGAACCAGUGUGUCAAAUGCACUUACACCGCCAAUGGGUUUCUUCUUGUUUAGCGACUCAUGCAUUUUGUAUGAAGCACCAUCUCCAGUUUCCUUUCGGGCUCUGGAGAGGAUGUCCUGCUCCUGUUAGGAUGCAGGAUGAUUCCUUUUUGUUUUUUUGGUACCAGGAUCGAACUCAGGUCCUUGCACUUGCGAGGCAGGCAGCGGAACCACUGAGCUAAAUCCCAGGCCCUGGAUGAUUGUUUUUUAAAGCAGGAACCUCCAGAGUCCGGCAGAUGGGUUCACUGUGCAUAUUAUGGACAUAGCAAGGGCCUGGAGCUGACGUUUUCACUGGGGCUCAUCUGAUACUUGAGAAACCUGCCUUGCAAGAAUUUCAAGAUAUUUCAGGGUUUCAUAGCAGCACCCAAAUCAUACACAUUACAUAUAUAUGCAUAUAUACACCACUGAGCCUGUUCUUUUACAAUUAUUUUUCUUUUUAAAAAUGACACUGGGCCGGGGAUUUAGCUCAGUGGUUUCGCCACCUGCUGCACAAGCACAAGGACCCGAGUUCGAUCCCCAGUGCCAAAAAAAAAAAAAAAAGAUACAUAUUUCCUUUUAGAAAAUGUAAAGCAUACAAAGAAUUUUUUCAAAUCACAUGGAAUUCUACCACUCAAGAGAUAACCACCGUUAGCAGCAGUGUCCUGUUCUUCUCCUGUGGGUGCCCAUUUCUUUUGCAAAGUGUGAUCAGGCUCAUGUUCCAUUUACACAGCAUCUGUAACUUUUUAAAGCUGUAGGUGGCUAGGCUGUGCAUAUGUAUUUUUUGGACAUGCUAUAAUUAGCCUGCAUUUGUCCUUACAACUGAAAGUAUAACUAGCCUGAUGAAAAUACAGGUGCUUCUAAGCUGGGCGUGGUGGUGCACAACUGUAAUUGCAACACUUUGGAGGCUGAGGCAGCACCAUUGCCCUGAGUUUAAGGCCAGCCUGGACUGCAUACAGAGACCCUGUCUUGGGGGUGGGGGAAGGAGCGAUGGAAGGAGGGAGGGAGAGAAGGAGGGAGCUGGGCACCGUGGUGCAUGCCUGUGAUCACCAGCUGAGGCGAAAGGAUUAAAGUUCCAGCAGCCGACAACUCAGGGAGACGCUGUCUCAAAGUGAGAGAGGAGGGAAGGGGUGGCAGAG